rnacentral:rRNA from 1 species
GAUUCUCUGAGUAACGGCGAGYGAAAGGAGAACAGUCCAGCGCCAAGUCUUGACGUUUCGGCGUUCAAGAGAUGCGGCGUUUAUGUGUUGGYGCAUCAUGCGUUGCCGUACGUUUCAAGUUCCUUUGACAGGGACAUCCAGAGCGGGUGCUAGGCCCAUAGAGACGAAUGGCUGACGUGUGCAGGCCAAUGCAUUCUAGAGUCAGGUUGCUUGAGAGUGCAGCUUAAAGUCGGUGGUAAACUCCAUCCAAGACUAAAUAUGACAGCGAGACCGAUAGCAAACAAGUACCGUGAGGGAAAGUUGCAAAGCACUUUGAAGAGAGAGUCAAAAAGCACGUGAAACCACUGACAGGCAAACAGAUGGAACCACGAAGUUGCGUCUCGGUCGAUUCAAUCGCYGCUGGUUGUCAACGGUGUCUCAUGKGGAUCUUUUCGGAGGUCAGUGCGACACUUUUAGGCGGCCAGCGUCGGUGCAUUUCGUGCCGAGGAUGCUAAGCCACGUUCGACCAAGUGAUUGGGACGRCCGUAGGRAAGGAUUUGAGAAAGGUGCCCGUCAGAUCUUUGAUUUGGCGGUGUUAUAGUCUCGAAUCGGAACCGUCGCCUAAUGUGUUGGUCGAUGAAAAUUCUCCGUUCGGAGUCGAGCUGCGAUUGCCUGUGAKCGGCAGUCGUCGUUUCGAGGUGUUCUUUGCGUGUCUUGCGGYGCGAAAAGACGUCUCAACAAUGGCGGCUGUCGUUUGCUUGCGUUUGGCGGCAGAACUGUGGCACGAGUAGGUCGGUGUCCAUCUGACCCGUCUUGAAACACGGACCAAGGAGCCUAUCAUAUACGCGAGUCGCUCGGUCUUGAAUAGGCCCGAGAGGCACAAUGAAAGUAAAGCUACGAGACUUCGGUCGCAGUAGUGGCUCGCCUACUUCGUUUAUCGGCGAUCAGGCGAAGCUGGAGCGUAUACGAUGGUACCCGAAAGAUGGUGAACUAUGCCUGGGCAAGACGAAGCCAGAGGAAACUCUGGUGGAGGUCUGUAGCGAUUCUGACGUGCAAAUCGAUCGUCAGACCUGGGUAUAGGGGCGAAAGACUAAUCGAACCAUCUAGUAGCUGGUUCCCUCCGAAGUUUCCCUCAGGAUAGCAGGCGCUUGUUUCAAACAGUCUCAUCCGGUAAAGCUAAUGAUUAGAGGUCUUGGGGUUGAAACGACCUCAACCUAUUCUCAAACUUUAAAUGGGUGAGAUGGUCGACUUUCUCGAUUGAAGCCGACCAAUUGGAUGUGGAGUGCCUAGUGGGCCAUUUUUGGUAAGCAGAACUGGCGCUGUGGGAUGAACCAAACGCCGAGAUAAGGCAUCAAAUGCACACGCUCAUCAGACCCCAUAAAAGGUGUUGGUUGCUAUAGACAGCAGGACGGUGGCCAUGGAAGUCGGAAUCC